rnacentral:rRNA from 1 species
CCUACGGGGCGCUGCAGUGGGGAAUAUUGGACAAUGGGCGAAAGCCUGAUCCAGCCAUGCCGCGUGUGUGAAGAAGGCCUUCGGGUUGUAAAGCACUUUCAGUGGGGAAGAAAGCCUUGGGGCUAAUACCCUCGAGGAAGGACAUCACCCACAGAAGAAGCACCGGCUAACUCCGUGCCAGCAGCCGCGGUAAUACGGAGGGUGCGAGCGUUAAUCGGAAUUACUGGGCGUAAAGCGCGCGUAGGCGGUCUGAUAAGCCGGUUGUGAAAGCCCCGGGCUCAACCUGGGAACGGCAUCCGGAACUGUCAGGCUAGAGUGCAGGAGAGGAAGGUAGAAUUCCCGGUGUAGCGGUGAAAUGCGUAGAGAUCGGGAGGAAUACCAGUGGCGAAGGCGGCCUUCUGGACUGAAACUGACGCUGAGGUGCGAAAGCGUGGGUAGCAAACAGGAUUAGAUACCCCGGUAGUC